rnacentral:rRNA from 1 species
GACGAACGCUGGCGGCGUGCCUAACACAUGCAAGUCGAACGGGGUACCUUCGGGUACUUAGUGGCGAACGGGUGAGUAACGCGUGAGAAACCUGCCUUUCAGUGGGGGACAACAGUUGGAAACGACUGCUAAUACCGCAUAAUGUGCCGGGAGGGCAUCCUCCUGGUACCAAAGCUUAAUGUGCUGAAAGAUGGUCUCGCGUCCUAUUAGUUAGUUGGUGAGGUAACGGCCCACCAAGACCGCGAUAGGUAGCCGACCUGAGAGGGUGAACGGCCACACUGGAACUGAGAAACGGACCAGACUCCUACGGGAGGCAGCAGUGGGGAAUAUUGGGCAAUGGAGGCAACUCUGACCCAGCAACGCCGCGUGAAGGAAGAAGGCCUUCGGGUUGUAAACUUUGUUGUAGAGGACGAAGAAAGUGACUGUACUCUACGAGGAAGCCCGGCUAACUAUGUG